UACGGAGGGUGCGAGCGUUGUCCGGAAUCACUGGGCGUAAAGGGCGCGUAGGUGGCGGGUCAAGCGUGCGGUGAAAGCUCGGGGCUCAACCCCGAGUCGGCCGUGCGAACUGGCCUGCUUGAGCACUGUAGAGGCAGAUGGAAUUCCGGGUGUAGCGGUGGAAUGCGUAGAGAUCCGGAGGAACACCGGUGGCGAAGGCGGCCAACUGGACGAAUACUGACGCUGAGACUCGAAAGCGUGGAGAGCAAACAGG
rnacentral:rRNA from 1 species